CUGGACUGCUCUUGAUCUUAUCGGUAACGCAUUUUAUCUGCCCGUUUAUCUGCCCUGGGAGUCUCGGUGGUGGAGGGAGACACAGAACAAGAUCCAGAGAACUAUACAGAGGAAAACUGAGUUACUCUUCAAUUACGCUUUUUCUCGCAAACUGACGUAUUUCUGGGCAGCGGACGUAAUAUAAAAGUAAGGGAGAAUAUUGGAAACGCAGACAAGACGCAGCACAGAGACAGGAAACAAGUCUCUGGGAAGUGAAGCUGCACAAAACCCACGACAGCAUCUCAUUAUCCACUAAAUAGCACCAGAUUAAUUACAAUGACAAUGACAGAUGGCUUGUUCCUGGAUCAUUGAGAUGGGACCCAGGGGAGAGACUGAAACAUGCAGUACUCUGCAGAUUCUCUGGGGGCUUCAGGUCAGGCAAGUUGGCUGGCCAAUCAGAUGCACUGAUAAGAUGGUCAGAGAAACAUUCGGUAGUAGUUUUGGCACUGUGGGCAGGUGCUGAAGCCUGCUGGAAAAGAAAAUUGG
ensembl:lncRNA